GUUGUUUGUUGAGGUACUCCUCAACAUGUGAGGUCCGUCUCACAUGAUUCUCCCUCUAGAGAGCCGGGACUUAUCCCUCCUGGAUAACUAUCCCGUUAGAGCAACAUCUCUCUUCGUUUGGGAGACCACUAUCCCCUUGGACUACUCCGAUCUGCUGAACAAACUGUGCAUUGUUCUGCCUCCUACAAACGCACUUGCUAGAUUGCGACUCCCCGUCAAUACAGUCCCCGCUG
rnacentral:lncRNA from 1 species